CAUGCCGCGUGAGGGAUGAAGGCCUCUGGGCUGUAAACCUCUUUUAUCAAGGAAGAAGAUCUGACGGUACUUGAUGAAUAAGCCACGGCUAAUUCCAGUGCCAGCAGCCGCGGUAAUACGGGAGUGGCAAGCGUUAUCUGGAAUUAUUGGGCGUAAAGCGUCCGCAGGCGGUCUUGUAAGUCUGUCGUUAAGGCGUGGAGCUUAACUCCAUUUGAGCGAUGGAAACUGCAAGACUAGAGUGUGGUAGGGGCAGAGGGAAUUCCCGGUGUAGCGGUGAAAUGCGUAGAUAUCGGGAAGAACACCAGUGGCGAAGGCGCUCUGCUGGGCCAUAACUGACGCUCAUGGACGAAAGCCAGGGGAGCGAAAGGGAUUAGAUACCCCUGUAGUCCUGGCCGUAAACGAUGAACACUAGGUGUCGGGGGAAUCGACCCCCUCGGUGUCGUAGCCAACGCGUUAAGUGUUCCGCCUGGGGAGUACGCACGCAAGUGUGAAACUCAAAGGAAUUGACGGGGGCCCGCACAAGCGGUGGAGUAUGUGGUUUAAUUCGAUGCAACGCGAAGAACCUUACCAGCGUUUGACAUCCUGCGAAUCCCUUGGAAACGAGGGAGUGCCUUCGGGAGCGCAGUGACAGGUGGUGCAUGG
rnacentral:rRNA from 1 species